CUACGGGAUGCAGCAGUGGGGAAUAUUGCACAAUGGGGGAAACCCUGAUGCAGCAACGCCGCGUGAGUGAUGACGGUCUUCGGAUUGUAAAGCUCUGUCUUCAGGGACGAUAAUGACGGUACCUGAGGAGGAAGCCACGGCUAACUACGUGCCAGCAGCCGCGGUAAUACGUAGGUGGCAAGCGUUGUCCGGAUUUACUGGGCGUAAAGAGAGCGUAGGCGGACUUUUAAGUGGGAUGUGAAAUACCCGGGCUUAACCUGGGUGCUGCAUUCCAAACUGGAAGUCUAGAGUACAGGAGGGGAAAGCGGAAUUCCUAGUGUAGCGGUGAAAUGCGUAGAGAUUAGGAAGAACACCGGUGGCGAAGGCGGCUUUCUGGACUGUAACUGACGCUGAGGCUCGAAAGCGUGGGGAGCGAACAGGAUUAGAUACACGGGUAGUC
rnacentral:rRNA from 1 species